GUCCACGCCGUAAACGAUGAGUACUAGCUGUUCGUGGUAUCGACGCCUCGAGUAGCGAAGCUAACGCGUUAAGUACUCCGCCUGGGGACUACGACCGCAAGGUUAAAACUCAAAGGAAUUGACGGGGGCCCGCACAAGCAGCGGAGCGUGUGGUUUAAUUCGAAGCAACGCGAAGAACCUUACCAGGGCUUGACAUGUUCUGGACCGCUGAUGAAAGUCAGUUUCCCUUCGGGGCCGGAUCAC
rnacentral:rRNA from 1 species